rnacentral:rRNA from 1 species
UUUCCGUAGGNGAACCUGCGGAAGGAUC